CAGACUUCCGGUUCCUGUCCUCGAAAUAGGGCCGCAGCCACCAUGGAGGAACCGGAGAUGCAGCUCAAGGGGAAGAAAGUAACAGACAAGUUUACUGAGAGUGUCUACGUCCUGGCCAACGAGCCAUCCGUGGCCCUGUACCGGCUGCAGGAGCACGUGCGCCGUUCUCUGCCCGAGCUGGCCCAGCAUAAGGCUGACAUGCAACGGUGGGAGGAGCAAAGCCAGGGAGCCAUCUACACGGUGGAGUACGCCUGCAGCGCCGUGAAGAACCUUGUCGACAGCAGCGUCUACUUCCGCAGCGUGGAAGGCCUCCUCAAACAGGCCAUCAGCAUCCGAGACCACAUGAACGCCACAGCCCAGGGCCACAGCCCCGAGGAACCGCCCCUGCCCUCUUCAGCCUGAUCCCAGAAGAGACUUGGAGGUGCUUUGGCCCCUCUGACUCAGUUAUGGCUGUCCCAUUGGUCAAGGCCAGUCACGUGACCAGGACCAGAUGGGCGAGGACUGCAGUACUGGAAGGUGUGGUUGACCAUCUGAGGAGAGCGUGGCACCAAGAAAGGCCUGGUGUCUUGUUAUUCUGUGCUCAUGCAGGGCAGACACAGGCAGAUUGGAGGCCCCGGGUUCUACACACAGCCUCAUUUUACAGAAGAGGAAACUGAGGCUCAGAGAGGCGAGUGACCGGAAAUGCCAGGAUUCACAUCCAGACCCUCUAACUCCCAGUGCUUCACCUCUUCCCUCAGCCUCGCCCAGGAUUUUCCUCAGACGCCACCUCAUCAGGGCUACCCUGCAGCCCUAGGGGUCUCUCAGACCUCGCCUUGACUCACCUCUUGCCCCCCAGCCCGACCAAAGCUUGGACCCUUGGACACAGCCUUGUGGGACUUGGCAGGGACAGAAGACCAAGUAAGUGUGGCCGGCGCAUUUCUCUUGCUCUUGCCUGGAACCUCUGGGCCAGCCAUGAAUGCCCUGAGACGAGGCUUUGCUGCCUCUGGAUUCUUACCCGCCCCCACUGGCCAUGGACACGGCCAUGGCCCCUCGGACCAGUAACUGCCACCAUGACAGUCCUGACCAUGCACCUGCUGUGUGCCCAGAUCUGUGCUGGGGGCUUCACAAGGGUCAUCUUUCAUCCUCAGACAGCCCUAUCAGGCAGAUGUCACCCAAAUGCAGAUGGGAAAAGAGAGGCUCCGAGAGGUGGCAUUAUUUGUGUGCGAUCACACAGAGAAGAGUAGACCCUGGCCUAGUUUGGUCCCAGCCCUGCCUCUGACAUGCUGUGGGACAUGGGUCUGGCACCGACCCUCCCUGGUGCUGCCUUUAUCCAUCUCAACAAGGAAGGCUGGACUGGACCUUCUCUACAGGCUGAGGCAGGCAGUCGUGUACCUGCCUGCCUGGACUGCAUUCUGCCUUGAGCAGAAAUGCCCACCUCAGGCUCAGACCAUAAGGAGAAGCCACCCUAACUCCAGGGGUGGAUGUGGGACCCUGGCCUGGCUAGUCAGAGCUCCCCAUCUCCCAGGUCACAGUGAUUGGUUUGAGAUGGGCAUGUGAUCCAACGAGAGGUCUUCCCUGAGGAUUUUGCUGGAAAAGUACCAUCUUCCUUCUGGGGUUGGUGAGCUCGGCAGAUGGACCAGGGGACCUGAGAACAUUGCCUGGGGCCCUGGAUCCAGCUGUACCUGACACUAGAAAAUCUCAAUUCUUCAGUUUCAUGAGUCCCUAAAAUUACUGUAUUUGCCAAAA